GGGUUGGGGGGGGUGACUUCUAGAGCCAACCGUCCUCUCCAGACCAUGCUCUGGGUGCCUGGGCUUCAGAAUUCCCGCACCAGCUGCUUUCUGGGUCUAUCCCAGCUGCUGGCAUGUGAGAUGGCCAGAGGGCAUUUCUACAGGGCAUAUGCGAGGAGCUUGGCAGUAAGGCUGAAAAUGGCAAGGAGGUGUGAAGCAGAGGGAUCCAGGCCCUUCACUUGCACUCUUGUCUUGGAGCCUGGCACGUCAGCGCCAGGACGGCUUGGACCUGAGCCUUCAGGUGCCCUGGAUCUCCCUCCUGGGCUGCAGGAAGGACUUGAGAACUUGAGUUGCCAUUGCAGACACUCGCCAGCAGGUGGCAGCACAGGAGCAGAUUACAGGAGGUCCAGAGUUGUGUGAGUCUAUGAAGCUCUGGGAGCUCCAGGACGUACCAGCUCACUGAAGAAAUCAUCAGGGCUCCUACUCAUGAAGUCCAUCCUGCAAGUGAGGACAACCCCUGAAUCUGGCUCCAAAGAGGUGGUGCUCCCCACAUAGCUCUCCAUAGCAUGGUCACUGACAAAAGGCUGAAUUGAGCAGGCAAAGGCACAGAACUCCCUUCUGCCCACGGCUCUCCCUCCAGUCACCUUUGUGGAGCACAAUGAGCUUUUUGUCCAACCCAUUCAUCUUACUGAUGGGGUCACUGGCCUACCCUCCAAGGAACUUGCCAUGGAGCUGGAAGGCGCAAGCCCUGAGCCUGCAUCUUGGCCCUUCUCUGGCUCCAAGCACAACACCCCAACUCUGUUUCUUUAUCUGGACAGCAAGUUCCUGAGAACCAUCCCACCUGGAGAAUUUCUACAUGCCAUGUUUUAUGUGAAGCACUCUAAUCAUUUUUUUAAGCUAUGCAUCAAGCAGCUAUAUUAUCUCAUUUAAUUUCCUGUUAUUCUCCCCAUCUGAGUCUGAGGACAUCUGGGUUCAGAGAGGGAAAGUUGAUUCAGCUGGUCACACAGUCAGUGAGCAAUGGAGUCGAGAUUGGACUCUGGCCAGCAGAUGUUGGGUCCUCCUGGGCUGCUACCCACUUCAAUUCUCAAAGGGAUACAACUCACAGAUGUGGUGGACUUUAGUGGGAAAAGGCUUCCCUCACCCCCUGCCCACACCUCACAAAUGAAAAGUAAUCCUGGAUGGGGCUGCUGGGAGGAGGUCUCCAUGUGGCCAGAAGGGGCGGGCUGCUGCUGUGUCCUGGGGGAGAAGGUCAGGCAGCAGGAAGUCAGGCGGACAGGGAGCAGGGUGCUGACCGUAGCUCUGCAGGCGGGAGGCUGCUCUGGACGCCCUUCCAGGGCAAGACCAGCGUCAGCGAGGCCUCAGGCCUCAGAGGGAGCGGUCUGGAGCUCAAGGAGCCAAACUUUCCAUGAGCCAUUAGCAAAAAAUGAGCCUGGAGAACAGUGUCCACCGCAGACCCAGAGACUCAGCAACCCUGGGUCACGUGGAAUUCAGAGGGGCUGGGACUGUCUUAACUCUUCCCUGGCUGUCCCCAGAGCCACCAAGAAACUGCUUUCAGAUUGAUGCUACGCCCAUCGUGGAAAGCUGUGAAGUGGCAGUGUGGGUCCCCCAGGCCACACAGCCAAGACAGGCAAAGCUGGAAAUGACCCCACGCCUACAUGGCUGAGCAGUGCACCCAUUCCUCCCAUAGUGCCCUGCUGCUGCCCCAAGCACUCGGCUCCAAGGAGUGUGAAAAACAAAAAAAGAGUCUUCAUAAGUCCAUGAAAUGAUUUGUCUCAAAAGACCAUGAGUUGCCCUGUGCAGGCUGGCCUGGGCUGUCAGAGCUCGUUGGAAAUAGGGCUGAGUCAGCCCCCAUGAAGACUCCAGGAGUCCAUACCUGGGUGCUGAAAAGUGUAUAGAGGUGGGCCCUAAAAGGAUGGGCAGGAUUCCAAUGGGUAGAUGGAGGAGGCACUAGGUCAGGGAGCCUGGACCUACAGAGGGAACCAUGCAGAGAUGAACUUGGCUGGGGUGGUGAAGGGGAAUGCACGGGGAAGGCCUACUGAGGAUCAAACACCAAGAUAACCAGUGUGAGCCCCAGUGUUACCUGUUGACCCUCACUUGACCUUGGGAAUAUGGCUGCUCUAAUGUGUGGCCAGAAGCCUCUCUCUCCUCUGCCCCACCCCCACCCCCAUUUGCUCUCACAGAUGAUAGGCUGGAAGU
ensembl:lncRNA